UACGUAGGGGGCAAGCGUUGUCCGGAAUCAUUGGGCGUAAAGAGCGUGUAGGCGGCUCGAUAAGUCCGCUGUGAAAGUCCAGGGCUCAACCCUGGAAGGCCGGUGGAAACUGUCGGGCUAGAGUCCGGAAGAGGCGAGUGGAAUUCCCGGUGUAGCGGUGAAAUGCGCAGAUAUCAGGAGGAACACCGAUGGCGAAGGCAGCUCGCUGGGACGGUACUGACGCUGAGGCGCGAAAGCGUGGGGAGCAAACAGG
rnacentral:rRNA from 1 species